AUGAAUCGUCCGGAUGUUCCAACGGUGAUACCAGAAACCCCGACGACAGAUGCGGACCACCGUGCUGCGGCUGCGCGUGCGUUAGCGGUGGAAGCGGCUGCUGCUGCUGGGGCUGCGGUUGCGGCGGCAGCCGCAGCCGAGCCAGAGCCUUUGCCUUCGGUUCGGCCGAUUUCUUCUGCCGACCUUCCUCGGGUUAGUUUACCGACUCCUGUUUUGCAGCUAGAUGCCAAGCUUGAUGCGAAGCAGACUGCUGCCCGCGUCAAGGCGUUUAUUCGUGACGCGUCUUUGUUUUUCGAAAUCGUGCCCUGGGGUAGGGACCAUCGUUCUUACUGCCUGUUUUUGUCGCAAGCGCUCCGUGGCGCUGCAAAAACGUGGUAUGAUGAGUGGUCCCUAUCGCAGCGCGAACUCACUGCUCAGCUUGUUCUGGAUAACCUGCGUACGCGUUUCACUCCUCAGGUUAUCUCUGUAGAACAAGAAGCACGACGUAAGCUCUCUGAAAAAUCUUUUGCGAUGCGUGCUGGUGAAAGUGUACCAGCUUACCUUUCGCGUCUUGAGGCCGUCUUUCAAGACAUACCCACGAUCACUCCUAGUGAGCGUAUGUUUUGGUUUUUCGAAGGCCUUUCUUCUUCCCUGCAGCCCCAUUGCGCCACAGACGUCUAUGGAAAGCCGUUUCCCUCUUACGACGCCCUGGUACAACAUGCCUUGGGCCAGGAAGUGCGCGUCCUGUCUGAACGAAAAGUCCGUUCUGCUCUUCGUUCGAAUUCUGUUGUUUUGCAGGAUUAUGACGAAGAUGGGCCUCCAGUCAAGCGGGCGCGCG
rnacentral:lncRNA from 1 species